GACGAACGCUGGCGGCGUGCUUAACACAUGCAAGUCGAACGGAAAGGCCCUGCUUUUGUGGGGUGUUCGAGUGGCGAACGGGUGAGUAACACGUGAGUAACCUGCCCUUGACUUUGGGAUAACUUCAGGAAACUGGGGCUAAUACCGGAUAGGAGCUCCUGCUGCAUGGUGGGGGUUGGAAAGUUUCGGCGGUUGGGGAUGGACUCGCGGCUUAUCAGCUUGUUGGUGGGGUAGUGGCUUACCAAGGCUUUGACGGGUAGCCGGCCUGGGAGGGUGACCGGCCACAUUGGGACUGAGAUACGGCCCAGACUCCUACGGGAGGCAGCAGUGGGGAAUAUUGCACAAUGGGCGGAAGCCUGAUGCAGCAACGCCGCGUGCGGGAUGACGGCCUUCGGGUUGUAAACCGCUUUCGCCUGUGACGAAGCGUGAGUGACGGUAAUGGGUAAAGAAGCACCGGCUAACUACGUG
rnacentral:rRNA from 1 species